CGAUUGACUGUAAACAAAAGAAAAAAUAGUCCAGGCAAAAUUAGGGAAGUCGAAAAACAAAAAAAAGUAGAAGAGGAAUCAAAAACAAAAAUACUCAGCAAGAACAAAGUCGUGUGACUGCAAACACAAAAAUAAGAAGGCAAGUGACUGUCACUCCCAAAACCUUGUGGGUUCUCUUACUACCACUCCCAUCAUUCUAAGAGACG
rnacentral:lncRNA from 1 species